rnacentral:rRNA from 1 species
CCUACGGGUGGCAGCAGUGAGGAAUAUUGGUCAAUGGACGCAAGUCUGAACCAGCCAUGUCGCGUGCAGGAUGACUGCUCUAUGAGUUGUAAACUUCUUUUGUACGAGGGUAAAUCCCGGUACGUGUAUCUGUUUGAAAGUAUCUUAUGAAUAAGGAUCGGCUAACUCCGUGCCAGCAGCCGCGGUAAUACGGAGGAUUCAAGCGUUAUCCGGAUUUAUUGGGUUUAAAGGGUUCGUAGGCGGUUUGAUAAGUUAGAGGUGAAAGUCCGGGGCUCAACUCCGACACUGCCAUUGAUACUGGCAGUCUAGAGUAUAGUUGCGGUAGGCGGAAUGUAUGGUGUAGCGGUGAAAUGCAUAGAGAUCAUAAAGAACACCGAUUGCGAAGGCAGCUUACCAAACUACGACUGACGUUGAGGCACGAAAGCGUGGGGAGCAAACAGGAUUAGAUACCCUAGUAGUC